AUGGGCUGGAUUUCUUUUGAUAAAGAUAAAGAAUGCAGAUUGGUACCAGUAACCAGGCAGCAUGAUGUUUUCCAUGCUUUAAUGCAGGAUCAAGUUAGAUUCUGGAAAUCAGAGUCAAAUGGUCGAUCAGAGUUCCUUGCAGAUCAUAUCUUUGUGACAUUUCCCUGGGUACAGGUCCUGGAACAAAGCAGAGUCAAAAGCGCAUGUGCAUCAUUCAUGAAUAUACUUCAGAUGAUGCGCAGAGAGUGGCCAUGGUGUAUUCCCCUCUUCUCUUGUGGUAAAGAUUUUUUUUUUUGGCGGAAAUAUGAUAAAGAAGCUGCAAGCUUCAACUUCCUAUGGCUCCUUUUUUUUUUGGCUUUUUUCAUUACAGAAAAGCAGCAGUGCAAAACUGUCUCCAUAUGA
rnacentral:rRNA from 1 species